CGCUUCACCGCAGUCCGGCCCACCUUCAAAAAAAAAAAAAACGGCAGCACAAAAUGGAAGAGUUGGAGUAGAGUGAAACAGCGCGCUGCACCCCCCAACCACCGACCCACCCACCCCCAAACACAUACAGGACACUGAUCGAGAAACUAAAAAAAAAAUAUAUAUAUAUAUAUACGACUCUACGAAAGUAUAGCGGUGCGCGCACACGCUCUCACGGUAGUGCUAGAAUUGCACAUUUCACUCUUCUGGUUUUCUACACACCAGCCGGAAGACUGCAACGAGAAAGAGGCGCACUACUCUUUUCGUUGGCCUUUUCCCUGGUCAUUGAAGCACACCGUCACUGGCAUACGUGUGGAGCCUGCGUAAUUGCGGACGGUCGCAACUUUCUCCGCUACGGAGUCUGUCGUGCUUAUAUAUAUAUAUAAUAUUUAUUUCUCCGUUUGUUGCUUCUCGUGUCUUCUUAACCGUAUCAAGUGCAUCAUCGGCCGCUUUAGUAUUGUGCCGCGUUUGUGAUCCCUUUUUUUCUUUGUCGCUCCCCCUUUUUUUUUUGCUAUCGGACACUCUCCUGCUUUCCCGCCGUUCCCCUACUGAGAGUUGUGUAGUUUUGUCAUUGGAGUAGUGUUGGCGUGCUGUGAGUAGCGUCAUUGCAAGCCAAGAAGCAGGCAUCUAGCCAAGCCCUGUCACACACCGGCGGCUGCGCUGCCAGACGAUUAUUUUCGACGCCAUGCCAGCGCUCACGAUCGGCUCGACGCUGCCGGACCCUCCCCAAACGAACGAGGAGCUGCUGGCGGUGCAGAACCUUCUCGCGCGUCUCCAGACCUCCUUGACUCUGCGGCGCGUAACCAAGCGAAACUCCGUCCGGCGAAGGACUGUUUCCCUCACAGCGGACGGCAAGGCGCUUGAGUACAAGCCCACGAGGAAGUCGAGGCGUCAGCUGCUGGUCUUCCGUGACCUCUACGAGGUGACUAAGAUGGACCCAGCCAGCAAGGUGUACAAGAAGGCGAAGCUGAACAGUAACACGAAUGUCGUCGUCGAAAUGAACACGCGCAUCCACCGCGGCUGGCGCAUCGUCUUCGAUGAUAAAGCGAGUGCCAACACGUGGCUGCAGAUGAUCGGCUACAAGGUGAAAGGCGGCGCUCUUGCACCGAGUGGCGCGGUGCCCAACGAGGACACUCUCACGGGUUGCAUUUGCGCCACAUGGGAGCGAGCGGAUACGAACCGGGAUGGCAAGGUAGACUUAAAAGAGGCGAAAAAGAUGAUGGUGCGCAUGAAUGUCGAGAUCAGCGAUGAUUUGCUGGCCGAUCUCGUACGCAAGCACGACGCCUCAGGGGAUGGCGCGCUCGACCUGGAGGAGUUCACCACGCUGUUCAUUCAGCUCACACAACACGAGGAACUACGACCGCUGUUCGCGUCCUUCGCAGCCCAGGUAGACUGGAUGACUCGUGCCGAGUUCGAUUGCUUUCUCAAGGCUCAGGGCGACGUCCCCAGUGACAUCCUUUUCAACACUCUCAAGCCGGACAAAAACAGCAGAAUCACCUUCACCCAGUUCGUGCACUACCUCUUUAGCCCCUGCCUCAACCCAGCCCUCGACCCGGCACAUCAGACAGGGGUGGUCGACGAAAUGACGCACCCGCUGAAGGACUAUUUCAUCAACUCCUCGCACAACACGUAUCUCUCGGGCGACCAGUUCCAGUCCUCCAGUCAGAUUGAGAUGUACAGGCGCGCCCUCCUAGCGGGGUGCCGCUGCGUCGAGCUAGACUGCUGGGACGGCAAGGAUAAUGACCCGGUCAUCUAUCACGGCCACACCCGCACCUCGAAGAUCCGCUUUGUCGACGUCAUUGAUACCAUCCGCCGCCACGCCUUCACCGCCUCCCCGUUUCCGGUCAUUCUCUCACUCGAGGUGCACACGUCGGAUGAGCAGUCCAUGGUCAUGGCAGAUCACCUGCGCACCAUCCUCGGCGAUAUGCUUAUGACGGCCAAGGACAUUCCGAACAUGAUGUACACGCCAGAGUCACUGAAGGGAAAAGUUCUCGUGAAGUGGAAGCUGCCCCACAAUGACGUGGACGACGCGAAGGAGGGGCUGGCUGGCUCAGAAAACGACAGCGGCGCCGCUCGGUCGCCGUCGCAGAAGGCGGAGGCAAGUUCGCAGGGGGCGCUGUCGCACCUGCUAAGGUCCUGCGUUACGGUGGGUGCCUUCAAAACAAGCGACUGGGGCCGGGACGCGGAGCCGUACUAUAUCCAGAGCUACGUCGAGACCGUGGUGAAGGAGUUAGCGCUGAGCCACCGUGACGAGUUUAUCGGGCAGACCUCGCGCAUGAUGGUGCGCGUCUACCCGAAGGGCACUCGCAUCGGCUCCUCAAACUACAACCCGACCACCGCAUGGUCUGUUGGGGCGCAGUUGGUGGCACUUAACUACCAGACGUGGGACGACGACAUGCGCUUGAACGACGGCAUGUUCUCACUGAACAAGGGCUGCGGCUACGUUCUGAAGCCGGAUUAUCUGCGCAACCCAUCGGGUAAGGCAAAGGCAACACCCUGCACCAUCACCGUCACCGUGCUAAGCGGGACGCAGAUUCCUAAGCCUUCUCUGCAGAAGAAGGGCGACAUUGCUGACCCGUACGUGAAGCUGUACAUCAACAAGCGCGACCGCACCGAGGUGAAGACGUCAGUGGUGCGCAACAACGGCUUGAAUCCAUACUGGAUGGAGACGUUCACCCUCGCCUGCGAGAGCAAGGAAAUAGACUUGCUGACUGUCAAGGUCAUGGACGAGGACACGACGUCUGCGAACGACUCCGUGUGUGAGAUGGUUAUUCCGGUGCGUGCACUGCGCACCGGCUACCGCGCCGUUCCCAUGAAGCUCUGCAAGAACGGUGCAUCGCUGCCCGGGGCGUCUAUCCUAUGCAAGUUCGACAUUGUAGACCUGCCACCGCAGUCGUAGUGCGAUGGCGGAGAACGAAUGUGUGAACGGAGGACCCGUGCGAAUCGCAUAAAGUUUAGCGUGCGUACAUGCGCGGUGGUGUGCUCAUCUUUGGGAGUUUGAGGGCCCUUUCUCUGUGUGUGGUGAUUUUCCCUGUACAUUUUCCAGCGGUCUUUUUUCUCCCUCGUCCUCGGCAUUUUGCUGCUGCCUCCGCUUCAUCCCGCCCGCCCACCCCAUUCGUGAUCAUCACCUCCUCGGCUCACCAACUCCGCCCCCACCCCUUUCCUUCCCUCUCCCACGUGAACGCAG
rnacentral:misc_RNA from 1 species